AUCCAUCCAGGGUUUGUGAUUGGUCCUGUCUUCCAGCCAACUCUGAAUAUCACUAUGAGGAUUAUUUUGAACUACAUAACUGGUAAUCUUCUCAGUUGUGGAUGUUGCAUAUGCAACUACUGCAAUCCUUCAUGAAUCUGUUUGCUGGAAGCAAUUGUCUUUUUACGUGCAGGUCAAACAUUUCCAAAUGAGACUUUAAGAUCUGUUGAUGUUAGAGAUGUUGCAAAUGCACAUAUUCUAGCAUUUGAAAGAUCUUCAGCCAGUGGCAGAUACUGUUUAGUUGGACAAGUAGCACACUUGUCUGAGUUCUUUAAGAUUCUGCGCCAACACUACCCGACACUACCACUUCCUGAAAAGUAAGAUCUUAUAAUUUGUUCUGCAAUUUCUCAGUUUAAAUCACACAAUUUUGAACAGAAAUCUGUUACUGUUAUGGUUUUCUUUUGCAAGCAGAUGUGUAGAUGACAAGCCUUUUGUGCCAAAAUAUGAGGUAUCUAAAGAGAAGGCAAAAGACUUGGGUGUGGACUUCACUCCUUUGGAGGUUACUGCUAAAAACAUCAUUGAAAGCUUGAAAGAGAGAGGCUUUCUUAAUUUCUGAGUAGUGUGAUUUAUUUAGUUUUCCUAAAUGUCUUCAUUUAUAUAAGCUUCUGUUUCUUAUAAGGUGUAUGCAGGAUGUAACCAGUUACUUCUUAAGGGGUGCUUGUGCUAGCUUUGAGCUCUUUGGGGGCCAUAUUGAUAGGAACACAUUUGAAUUGAAAGCAGAUUUUAAUAUAAUGAAAAAUAUAAAUAGGAUUAAGCUCAGUGGUACUGGAGUUGUCUUCGAACCUGUGAGAUCUUUAGUUCGAGUUUUAGUUGCAAAAUUCAUUGCAGUUUCGGUUGGGUUCAAUUUAAUUUUGAUUUGAUGAAAUUUAAUAGUUGAAAUUUUUUUCAAUUAAAAAAUCUGGUUUUGGUCCAGAAUCGAACCAACCGGUUUUGGUCUAGAACUGAACUGACCAAUUUCUAGUAAUCGUCUGCGCUUUGGUACGUAUAGAUCCU
rnacentral:misc_RNA from 1 species